UGUAGUCAUAUGCUUGUCUCAAAGAUUAAGCCAUGCAUGUCUAAGUAUAAGCAAUCUAUACAGUGAAACUGCGAAUGGCUCAUUAAAUCAGUUAUCGUUUAUUUGAUAGUACCUUACUACUUGGAUAACCGUGGUAAUUCUAGAGCUAAUACAUGCUAAGAACCUCGACUUCGGAAGGGGUGUAUUUAUUAGAUAAAAAACCAAUGCCCUUCGGGGCUCCUUGGUGAUUCAUAAUAACUUAACGAAUCGCAUGGCCUUGUGCCGGCGAUGGUUCAUUCAAAUUUCUGCCCUAUCAACUUUCGAUGGUAGGAUAGUGGCCUACCAUGGUUUCAACGGGUAACGGGGAAUUAGGGUUCUAUUCCGGAGAGGGAGCCUGAGAAACGGCUACCACAUCCAAGGAAGGCAGCAGGCGCGCAAAUUACCCAAUCCCGACACGGGGAGGUAGUGACAAUAAAUACUGAUACAGGGCUCUUUUGGGUCUUGUAAUUGGAAUGAGUACAAUUUAAAUCCCUUAACGAGGAACAAUUGGAGGGCAAGUCUGGUGCCAGCAGCCGCGGUAAUUCCAGCUCCAAUAGCGUAUAUUAAAGUUGUUGCAGUUAAAAAGCUCGUAGUUGAACCUUGGGCCUGGUUGGUCGGUCCGCCUCACCGCGUGCACUGAUCCGACCGGGCCUUUCCUUCUGGGGAGCCGCAUGCCCUUCACUGGGUGUGUCGGGGAACCAGGACUUUUACUUUGAAAAAAUUAGAGUGUUCAAAGCAGGCCUAUGCUCGAAUACAUUAGCAUGGAAUAAUAGAAUAGGACGUGUGGUUCUAUUUUGUUGGUUUCUAGGACCGCCGUAAUGAUUAAUAGGGAUAGUCGGGGGCAUCAGUAUUCCGUUGUCAGAGGUGAAAUUCUUGGAUUUACGGAAGACUAACUACUGCGAAAGCAUUUGCCAAGGGAUGUUUUUCAUUAAAUCAGUGAACGAAAGUUUAGGGAUCGAAAGAACGAUCAGAUACCGUCGUAGUCUUAAACCAUAAACUUAUUGCCGGACUAAGGGAUCAAAU
rnacentral:rRNA from 1 species